GUAACAAGGUCUCCGUUGGUGAACCAGCGGAGGGAUCAUUACCGAGUUUACAACUCCCAAACCCCUGUGAACAUACCACUUGUUGCCUCGGCGGAUCAGCCCGCUCCCGGUAAAACGGGACGGCCCGCCAGAGGACCCCUAAACUCUGUUUCUAUAUGUAACUUCUGAGUAAAACCAUAAAUAAAUCAAAACUUUCAACAACGGAUCUCUUGGUUCUGGCAUCGAUGAAGAACGCAGCAAAAUGCGAUAAGUAAUGUGAAUUGCAGAAUUCAGUGAAUCAUCGAAUCUUUGAACGCACAUUGCGCCCGCCAGUAUUCUGGCGGGCAUGCCUGUUCGAGCGUCAUUUCAACCCUCAAGCCCUCGGGUUUGGUGUUGGGGAUCGGCGAGCCCUUGCGGCAAGCCGGCCCCGAAAUCUAGUGGCGGUCUCGCUGCAGCCUCCAUUGCGUAGUAGUAAAACCCUCGCAACUGGAACGCGGCGCGGCCAAGCCGUUAAACCCCCAACUUCUGAAUGUUGACCUC
rnacentral:rRNA from 1 species